UAUCAAUAAGCGGAGGAAAAGAAACCAACAGGGAUUGCCCCAGUAGCGGCGAGCGAAGCGGCAGCAGCUCAAAUUUGAAAUCCGGCCCCCGCGGCCCGAGUUGUAAUUUGCAGAGGACGCUUCCGGCGCGGCCCCGUCCGAGUCCCCUGGAACGGGGCGCCGGAGAGGGUGAGAGCCCCGUACGGCCGGGCGCCGCCGCCAGUGCGAAGCUCCUUCGACGAGUCGAGUAGUUUGGGAAUGCUGCUCAAAACGGGAGGUAAAUUCCUUCUAAGGCUAAAUACCGGCUGGAGACCGAUAGCGCACAAGUAGAGUGAUCGAAAGAUGAAAAGCACUUUGGAAAGAGGGUUAAACAGCACGUGAAAUUGUUGAAAGGGAAGCGCCCGCGGCCAGACGCGGGCCGGUCCGAUCAGCCGGCGCCCGCGCCGGUGCACUCGGGCCGGCCCGGGCCAGCAUCGGCUCCCGCGGGGGGACAAAGGCCCCGGGAACGUAGCUCCCCACGGGGAGUGUUAUAGCCCGGGGCGGAAUGCCCGCGCGGGGGCCGAGGUCCGCGUCCUGCAAGGAUGCUGGCAUAAUGCCCGCCGGCGGCCCGUCUUGAAACACGGACCAAGGAGUCAAGGUUUUGCGCGAGUGUGUGGGUGCCAAACCCGCUCGCGGAAUGAAAGUGAACGCAGGUGGGAGCCUCCGGGCGCACCACCGACCGAUCCUGAUGUCCUCGGAUGGAUUUGAGUAGGAGCGCAGUGCCUUGGACCCGAAAGAUGGUGAACUAUGCUUGGAUAGGGUGAAGCCAGAGGAAACUCUGGUGGAGGCUCGCAGCGGUUCUGACGUGCAAAUCGAUCGUCAAAUCUGAGCAUGGGGGCGAAAGACU
rnacentral:rRNA from 1 species